UAACACCGGAGCGGGUUUCCAAAACCUGGAGGCGGACUUCCAUCCCGCCGAGGGGAGGACUGCAUGUUGAUCGGAGCGGCGAGGACCGGGUCUUCGUCCCGUCGGUCGGCGUAUGUUUAGAGUCUUGGUUUUUAAGAGCGGCGUUGGCGACAGCAGCUCCUCUUCGGAGAACUUUCUUGGGCGAUGAAGCGACGGCAGGAACUGCGGCUGGAUCCUGGUCCGGACCCGAGUGUGACUCUGCAGCAACAAGAAGAACGGCAGCAGACACUCGCAGAGGAGGAAACAGUGGAAGUGGACUGACGCGUCUCUGGUGUCUGCGUCUAUCACGGACACGAAGGCGUUGACCGCUACUGCCCCGUGAAGCAGUCGCCACUGGAGGUCAGCCAGCUUCUUGGUCAGUGGAGGCUUGUACAAGCUACUCCAGGCCGGCGAGACCUCAGCUCCCAGGUGCAGAUGACCACGCCAAGGCUAGGUUUCAGACUUUGACCCAGGGCACAGUCUCCUGGUUGAAAACCAUGUGGGCGAUUCCUUCCUGGUGAGGGUAAAGCAACGACUGUAUAACCUGUCAAUGAUACUCAGAAAGUACGUACUUCUGUUUCAAUCCCUGUAAUUGUGUUACAUCUGUAGUUUCUGCAUCAUCACUAUGAACGGAGUCACUACAGUCACUAUAAGAAUAAGUCAUGUACAUAUACAAUUGUAGUCUCCUGUCCUCCCUUCUCCCCCUCUUUCUGCCCACCUCUCCUCCCCCACAUUUUUCUCCUCUCACCCCAACUGGUCGAGGCAGAUGAGUCCGACUGAGUCCGGUUCUGCCAGAAAUGUCUUCCUGUUGUUUUUCUCCGUGGUCCCAAAGUGUUUGCUCAUUGUGGGAACUGUUGUGUUUCUCUGUAAUAUUGUGAGGUCUCGACCUCACUAUGUAAAGUGCCUUGAGAUAAUGUGUGUUGUGAUU